rnacentral:rRNA from 1 species
AUGCUGAGCAGCAUGCGAUUCUUCGCCCGCCCCCUCAUGGAGCACCAAAUCGCCGACAGGUUCGACUACCUCGAAGACGACGUCUCCCGCCCAGCCUACCACCAUCUGGAAUUGCUGGAUCACCGCAACGGCCUGCUCUUGCUCAGGGACUGGGUGGUUAACCCGGCGACCCGGCAGUGCGUGCCCUUGCCCCCGCCGCCGCCUCCACGCGCGGGGAUGGAAGCUUUCCUUGACACCAGAUACCUUGUGUUUGAUCCCGCUGUAUCGCCGCACUACCAUGUGUUUUCGAUCCCUAGAGUCUCGCGCAGAACUGGUGAGCUAACCAAAUUCACCGUGUUCUCCUCGACAACACGGAGGUGGGAGGAGAGGUCUUUUGUUCGACAAGAAGGAGAAGCGGCCACACGGACUACCAUAGCCGACAUCAACUACUCUCCUCGGAAGCACCGCUAUGCUGUCUACUGGCGGGAUGCGCUUUAUGUGCAUUCCCAAGACGAUUCCAUUAUACGCAUAACCUUGUCCACCCAUAAGUACCAAGUGAUUCCAUCUCCAAUAGGACGUCAAGUGACAUAUCUAGAAUCUCUCUACUUGGGGAAAUCCAUCAAUGGCGUCUACUGUGCACUAAUCUUUAAUUUGGAGGAACGGCUACGGAUUUGGCUACUUAAUGAUGAUGAGGUACGCGGUCAAACAAAAUGGGUGCUCAAGAAUGACGUGAGCAUUCAGCCACUCGUGGGAAUAACACAUCAACACUUUGGCCUUCAAAACAAUGGACUUUGGACUUUGCAAAACACCCUUGUUGAACCGAUGGCGGAGCAGAAAUUUGAAUGGGAUCCUGACAGCGGCAUUAUCCUUGAAGCUGAGGCUAAGGCUCCAAUAGAUCACUUUCAUGAUGAUAUUCGUACCCUAGGAUUUCAUCCUUACAAGGAGAUUCUCUUCUUAUGGACAAAUUGCAAAAGAGUAGUAGCUUACCAUUUGAACAGUUCCAAGGCUCAAGACGUGGGAAAGUUACCCGUACCAUCGAUAGAAACGUCUUUUGUAUACACACCCUUGUUGGAUGGGGAAAUAUUAGGAAAAUAG